UAGGUAGGUGGUCUCAUUUGUCUAGGGUGAAAUCCUUGGGCUUAACUCAAGAAGUGCCCUAGAAACGGUGAGACUGGAGUCCUGGAGAGGGUCGUGGAAUUCCCGGUGUAGCGGUGAAAUGCGUAGAGAUCGGGAGGAACACCAGAAGCGAAGGCGGCGACCUGGACAGGCACUGACACUCAACUACGAAAGCGUGGGGAGCAAACAGGAUUAGAUACCCUGGUAGUCCACGCUGUAAACGAUGAGUACUAGGUUUGGCGGGUCUUGACCCCUGCUGAACCGGCGCUAACGCAAUAAGUACUCCGCCUGGGAAGUACGGUCGCAAGACUAAA
rnacentral:rRNA from 1 species